UCUUCUCUCUAAUAUCACCAGCAACCAUCCUCCAUCCUAACUCCACCCUUUUCUCCCUUCAAAGCCGCCACCCUCCAUUAAAACCUGAAACUUGACCUCCAAAUAAAAAUCCAAACACUAACCCUAACCGAUCGCCCACCCAAUUACUUGUUGGGAGUCACCUUGAUCAGAUCUGGUUGAAGGGGAGCGGUGGUGGCGAGAAGGAGGGUGAACAACGGGGAUACUCCAACUUGUUCCAGCGAGAUCUGGAGGUGUUCGGACAUAACGACGGGUUGACGGCGGUUGUUCUGGUGGAGACGGAGUGGAUUUGGACACAACGACGGUGGCAAAUCUAGAAGGAGAUCCAUCUUUAGGUUAGGAUUUUUUGAAUGAUUAAUGUUGGGUCACCCGAGAUGAUGUAAGGCUUGCAUUGGGGAUAUUAGGAGCACUUUGUGAGCAGUUAGUUGUCCGACAGAUUCAUCUUAGAGAAGAUGUCGUCUCCCUUGGGUGUUCUUUUUGUUUGAGUCUCGGCCUGAGGCUCUAGUUCAGAUUGCAUCAUUAGCCAUUAAAACUGGAAAUGGGCUCCUACUGAAUGGAGGAAAGGAAGGAAACAGCUCUAACGCAAUCUUGCACAAGAUUAUUACUUCAUGCAUAAAGAGUUGGUAAAGGGUUAAUUGUCCUUGUUACUUCCAGAGACGAGAUUCCCGAAUUGCUCAAGAUGUGGCACGACACAAGAGAAGCUACGGAUAAUGAUAUAGAUUUU
rnacentral:lncRNA from 1 species